AAUCUAGACCUUGAAGAGGUAGAAGAUUUAUUUCCAUUUUGAGGCUAAGCUCGAACAUGCCGAAAGCUGUGCUCUGUCGUUGGUUUUAAUCAGCAGUUUUAAUCUUCAGUAAGAAUUGCAGCUUCUAAUCUACGAAAUCCCAACUGAUGGCAGCAGAAGUCCCUUCUGUUUUGGGGGAAUCGUAGAGGUGGGAAGAGCCAUGGGGAGGAAACGAGCUUUUUUUUCAGGGGGAUAUAUUAAUGGAUAACAUCACGACUGUUGCAACAUCGGUGCUUCGAAUGGCCGAAAGGAAAUCAGCUAUUGAAAAUAUAUGUAAGAGUCUCUUGUUUGCAAAGGAACUGAAUAAACUCCCCUUCACAGGGA